CCAGUAGUGAGUGGAGGUGAUGACUGACAUGUUUUCACAGAGGACAGUUUUCAGGUCUUGAACAGACCUGUUGGGAUAAACACAGUCAAGAUAAUAGCAUUGGGGCAGGACAAAAGCAGCAUCAUUGUGAAAAUGCCUUCAACUUGAAACAUUCUGAUGGAACUAUGCAUGAACAAUGGACACAAACUGCCUAAUGUGUGAGAAAUACACUGUCCCUCUGAGAAGUCCAUCAGUUAAUAUUAACAAGGAGAAAGAGAAGGAAUAACUUGGCAGGAAGCUCUGAAUCUCCCCCUGACUUGAUUCAAGAGAUCAUCAAGGAAGGAGUCUAGCUGUAAAGUAUACCUCCCUUCCUCUGAUGAGAGUGACGACCGGGGUGCCUGGAAUCAGAGGGCAGCCUGCUCUCCUUUGGCAAACAAACACCCACUCUGACCAGGCAUCCAUGAACUCAGGAUCUAUGGGGUUGCAGCGGAGGGCUCUGGCUCCCAUUUCCCCCAGAGGCCACAGGACUUCCCGACUCUGAGUAGGUGUUCCAGAUGGCGCUGCAGCCUCUAGUACUCAUAAGAAGCCAUAAGGAGAAGUUUCUCAGACUUAAAGUGUGCGAAACGAUACUAAAUCUUCCAUCUCCUGGAGGCCGGAUAGGAAAUGAAAA
rnacentral:lncRNA from 1 species